GUUGGUUUAAUUCGAAGCAACGACGAAGUACCUUACAGGUCUUGACAUCCGAUGCUAUUUCUAGAGAUAGAAGUUACUUCGGUACAUCGGUGACAGGUGGUGCAUGGUUGUCGUCAGCUCGUGUCGUGAGAUGUCGGGUUAAGUCCCGCAACGAGCGCAACCCCUAUUGUUAGUUGCCAUCAUUCAGUUGGGCACUCUAGCGAGACUGCCGGUAAUAAACCGGAGGAAGGUGGGGAUGACGUCAAAUCAUCAUGCCCCUUAUGACCUGGGCUACACACGUGCUACAAUGGUUGGUACAACGAGUUGCGAGUCGGUGACGGCGAGCUAAUCUCUUAAAGCCAAUCUCAGUUCGGAUUGUAGGCUGCAACUCGCCUACAUGAAGUCGGAAUCGCUAGUAAUCGCGGGUCAGCACGCCGCGGUGAAUACGUUCCCGGGCCUU
rnacentral:rRNA from 1 species